rnacentral:lncRNA from 1 species
UUGGGGAAUUUGGGGAGGAAAGAGAAGGUGGCUGAACCAAAGAGCAGCAAGAGCAGUGGUUCCACAGAGUUCGAUGAUUUACUAGCUGGCUUUGGGAGUGGCAGUCCUGCCACCAGUAGCAGGUACUUUGUCAUAUCUUUUUGGAGCUCCUUCCCUAUCCUAUUGUUUAAUUUCAGCUAUUUUUGGUUGCAAUGAGACAUAAAUAACAAAUGUGACCUGGCUGUUGAACUAAGCCUUGCUUUUGUUGGAGCUCCCUCCCUAUCCGAUUGUUUAAUUUCAGCUAUUUUUGGUGCAAUGAGACAUAAAUAACAAAUGUGACCUGGCUGUUGAACUAAGCCUUGCAUUUAAGUGGAGAAGGGUAGAGAAGGCUGACCCACUAUCUCUGAGUUGUGAAGCUGAAACAGUGGAGUAUAUAGGUCAUUAACAAUUACAGAAUUUCAUUGACUUCCUAUUAUUUUGUUGCACGAACAAGAAAAGCAUUUGCAAGCACCUCUUAUGAAAUCUUACUUGGACUUGAGAUCAGUGAUUCAGGAUUUAAUUAUUUAGCUCGUGUGGGGAACUAUUACUGGAUAUCAUAGAAUUUGAAAGCUGUAUGGCCUCCUUUAUCCAUUGGCGUGUAGGUGAACUUAGUACACUCCCGAGAGUUAUUAAAUGUAUUGCUGAAUUACUAGAGCUAUUAGAUAGUACUAGCAUUAUGCUUAUCUGGAUAAAACAUGCCUCAUUUUGAGAAAUUGUUUCUGGUAGUGGUUUGCUGUCUGUAUUUAAGGGUUUGCUUAACUUAAACGAUGCAGCUAAUAAUGUGCAUAGAUUAUUUCACAGACAAAAACUUGUACUAGGGAAUGUUAUCAUGGAAUGAUGAUUGCGCAUAUAAACUGCUUAUUUAUUAUGAUUGGCUGUUCGAAAGCGGUUCUGCAUCUUAUGUAGUUAUCACCCCUUUGUUUUUGGGGUUUGGAGAGGUCUUUGGGGUUGAACUCCAAACAUUCUUACUUCUCUGCAGUCAUAGAAAAGGGUCAAAAAUUUUGGGUACUGUCAAGAUGGAGAACAUAGAUCAGCUGCUUUCUCUGGUUGACAUGCAUACUAUUUUUAAGGGUGUAAAUACUGCU